GCUCGUUCGAGCUUUUUUACAAGCCGAGCUCGAGUAGCUCGCGAGUAGCUCGGCUCGUUUGCACCCCUAGUGAUAGGCUUUGUAAAUUUGUACCAUGUUUUUUUACAGAGCUACUGAACGGGUCAAUGGAAAACAUGUAUAGAAGUCAAGCUGUCAAGGUUAAAAGACAAGCUUUUUUUAUGAACAAAUGUGGCACGACACGAGAGAGGCUACAGAGAAUGAAAUAGAUGUUUUGUUGAUGACGUUGAUGCCGAAGUUUUUUAGAGAGUUAGGUAUCUCGUUAGAUUAGCUUAUGUAGUUUAUUUAUACAAUUUAACGUAAUUUGUUAUGCAUUCAACAAAUGUUUGUAAUUUGACGGGAUUAUUUCCGAAUUGGAUGUCUAUGGGUUUAUUUCCGAUUUGAAUGUGUAUUGUUUUGGUUUGAUUUGAAAAUGUUCCAUUGGUAAGCUUGAUGUAUUUCUCGAAAA